GAUGAACGCUGGCGGCGUGCUUAACACAUGCAAGUCGAACGGAAAGGCCCAAGCUUGCUUGGGUACUCGAGUCGCGCACGGGUGAGUAACACGUGGGUGAUCUGCCCUGCACUUCGGGAUAAGCGUGGGAAAAUGGGACUACUACCGGCGAGGUACACGAGUUGGAUGUUGUGGUGGAAAGUUCACUCGGUGAGGGAUGAGCUCGUGGCCUAUCCGCUUGUUGGUGGGGUAAUGGCCUACCAAGGUGUGGACGGGUAGCGGGACUGAGAGAGUGUACGGCCGCACAGGGACCGAGAGACGGCCGAGACGCGUACGGGUGGCAGAAGGGGGGAAUAUUGCACAAUGCGCGCAGGCCUGAUGCAGAGGGGCCGCGUGUGGGAUAGCAGCUUUCGGGGGGUAAACACCUCUCGAGAGAGACGAAGCGUGUUGUGACGGUACCGGAAGAAUAAGCACCGGCUAACUACGUG
rnacentral:rRNA from 1 species